AAUUCUCAACCUAUCUUGCUUUCACGAGUUAAGUUAGGCUUGGAUUUGGAGGUUGCUGGUUUCUCAGAAAUCAGCUCUUCUUAAAUGUAUUAGCAGAACCUUUGCUGAUUGUCUUUGGUAUGAUAAUUAUCUAUACCAUAGAAAAUUGGUGUCCUUCCUGGGAAGGUUUCGCUUCUAAUUGUCUAUUAAGACACUUUUGACAA
rnacentral:misc_RNA from 1 species